rnacentral:rRNA from 1 species
CCUACGGGCGGCAGCAGUGGGGAAUAUUGGGCAAUGGGCGAAAGCCUGACCCAGCAACGCCGCGUGAAGGAAGAAGGCUUUCGGGUUGUAAACUUCUUUUGACAGGGAAGAGCAGAAGACGGUACCUGUCGAAUAAGCCACGGCUAACUACGUGCCAGCAGCCGCGGUAAUACGUAGGUGGCAAGCGUUGUCCGGAUUUACUGGGGGUAAAGGGCGUGUAGCCGGGCUGACAAGUCAGAUGUGAAAUCCGGCGGCUCAACCCCCGAACUGCAUUUGAAACUGUUGGUCUUGAGUAUCGGAGAGGCAGGCGGAAUUCCUAGUGUAGCGGUGAAAUGCGUAGAUAUUAGGAGGAACACCAGUGGCGAAGGCGGACUGCUGGACGACAACUGACGGUGAGGCGCGAAAGCGUGGGGAGCAAACAGGAUUAGAUACCCUUGUAGUC